rnacentral:lncRNA from 1 species
GAAAACAAUAAUGCAACUCUAGAUACCCUUUUCUGGCCUCUCAAACUGUGCAAAUGAGGGAAACUGCCCUGUUGAAAGUAAUUAGUAUUUUUUAGUGGCAAGAAAAGUUGUAUCAUUUUCAUGUAUUCAUAUCUGACAUGUGAAUUCUUACUAAUGCUUUGCCCUGGCUUUGCCAGAUGUCAGUCCACUGCUUAAGGGUCCUUAGCUUUACCUCUAAUUUGGUGUUCAGCUCUGAGUCAGAUGUUACUACAUAUUCAUCAUCUUUCUUUUUCAUAACUUUGGUUAGCUUUUGUUUCAUUUCCAGUAUCUCUUCUACAUUUUGCUGACCUCUGACUGUUUUUUUGACUUUUCUUCUCCACAGAAAUCCCUGAGAUGGCUAGUGGGGGCGCAGAACAAACUGGAAUAUUUUUCAGCAACUGGGAUAGAGGAAUUAAGUCAGCAUUUCCUGAAUGCUUUUCUAUGUGGCCUGAACUGUAUUUCAGAGGUAGUUUACAGCAGCUGUGUUGUGACAAAAGGACAGACGCAGUCUCCAAAUUAACAGGUUCAGCAAGUCACUUUAAAAGUUAUGAAGCUGUGCCCUUCCGUAUCUCCCCAUAUGCACGAGUGCUACCAGAGGAAUGUGCCUGGCACUGAAGGACAGGUGACAUGUCACAGGUAACAGCAAGUCUGAGGUUGUAAAUAYGCGGGUUGCCCAGAAA